AAGUUCCAUCCCUUCCUGUGGUGCUCACAACAGAAGGAAACACAUAGGAAGGAUCUUUAGUGGUAUUAGCCUUGCUGAUCAGUGGGAUGGCUGGAUGAGAGGAGCCAAAACACGGUGCUAGGGCUACAGCCCUGCUGGGGCCAGGGAGAGCUGCUCCCCAUGUAUCAGUUCCACCCAGACUAAUGUCAAGGUUUGUUCCAUGAGGUAGCAGUGACUGAACAGAGCAACUGUGGAUUCUUCUGGUCAGGAAAGAAGUUGGUUUUUUUUGGGAUGAUGAAGACAUGAACACCAUUUUCCCCCUCACACAAUCUUCCUUCCAGGCUGUGUUUUGCAAUGUGAGAACCAAGCUGCUCUACAUCAAAGGAUACACAGGGGAUGUGUGUUCUCUAUACUCAUACUCCUGUUAUCAGAAAACAGAAGCAGCGAGACAAAGUCUCACCCUGGCAGUGCCUAGCAUCAAACAGGUAGCUUGUAGGGCCUGUGUUGCUUGAAUAUACUGGGUUUUUUUUCCAUCAGGAGAAAUCAGCUUGAUAAGGAAAAGAAAUGCAUUUUUAAAUUGCAAAAACUAGUUUCAAUGUAGCUACAGUUUGUAUUUGUUAUUUUUCUUAUUGGCCUAUUUUGUUGCCAGCUUUAAUGCUGUAGACUGCACUCCCCAUUUCAGACAACACCUUAAUCUGUCUUCAAUUUUGGACAAAUGGAAUUUUAAUUUCAAUGGAAUCCAGCAUUUUCAUUCUAUUUUCACUGCCAAGUAGAAGAUCAUCUUUUGUGUUAAAUGGAGCUUAAAUGUGAAAUCUACAUAGGGUAUGAGUAAACCCAAAGAACUUUCACAGUAGCAAAGGAAGGCAGAUAAA